GUGAUGUCUGCAUUCUGUGUUGGUCAAUCACGUUAGUGUAAUAAUUUAUGUUCGUUUAUUUUAAAAGUUUGUAUUUCUCUCUUGAAGGACUGAUGCUCUCAACUAUCUCUUCCUAAACAUCCUAAGCCAAACGAUUUGCAGAAAAUGUUGAACAAACAGGGUUUAUUGGUAACGUUUGUGCAAAUCAAAGGUAGAUAAAAAUACAGUAGGCCUACAUAUACUACUAAAUGUAAGUUUUUAUAGUGUAAAGAAGGUAGUAAUAUCCAAAAAUGGGGUUGGAGGCAGCGAUGCUAGGCCUCCCGACUAUUUGUGCCCAGGUUGUAUGGAUCUAUGAAUGAAUGGAUUUGUCUGCAGAUCUUCUAAGUAAGUGGGAUCAUUAAACAAGUCUAAGGAUUAAGUGGGCAUGUUACUACAGGUCAAGUGAACGAGAGUGUUAGUUUUAACUGCUCUGGCAAGUUAGAUGUUUCUGCAGGUCUUCACAGAUGUUUCUACAUGUCCGGUGAGCAAGCGCAGGUGUUUCCACAAAGCUGAAAAUAGGUGUUGCUACUGGUCCAGUAAGUGGGAUUGUUUCUACAAGUCCAGUCAGUGAGCGGAGGAGUUUCUACAGGUCUGGUAGAAACCGGUCUACCGGUACAGUAAGUAAGUGGAGAUGUUUCUACAGGUCUGAUGAACGAGCUGAUGUGUUUCUAUAGGUCUGGUGAGCAAGCGGAGAUGUUUCCACAGGUCUGAUAAUUGAUGUUUCUACCGGUCCAGUAAAUUGAGAGUUUUCUACAGGUCUACAUAGAAAACUCAUAAGGUGUAUAUAAGGUGUUUCUUCAGGUCUGGUGAACAAGCUGAGGUGUUUAUACAGGUCCAGUAUUCUUUAUGGAAAUGGCAUUCGUGCCUGUCCUCAUUAACCUGACAAAAACAUUUUGUUGAGGGCCCCGGAACAACAUUACAGAUUGUAACCCACACACUUGCAACCACCCUCUUUAUGCAUUGUCCCCUCUCCCCCGUCUAUCUCAGUAGGUAUGUACAUGGGUAAGUAUUCCAUCCUCAAUUUAUGGUAGGUAGGCAAGUAAAUGGGUACGUAUUCCACUUAUGGCCUUCUCCCUUUAUACGAGUACGUUUUUUAGGCAAGUAUGAUCUAAAAAAAAAUUCCUUCACUCUUCCUUCCACCAACUCCCUCUUCUUUGGUUCUCCCUCUGUGGCUUCAAUUAAAUGAAAUGAAAACGAAAUGAAAAUAAGCCCAGAGAUACCAUAUGUCCCGGCUGUCUCUGAACCAGUGAGACACUACCCAUCAUGCAAAAGUUCUUUUGUUUCAUAACUUCUGUUUUAAUCUACAUAUUUCUCUAUGAACUAAUCCAUGUAUAUAUUUUUAAAUGUAUUAAAUAUAUACCUCUAUACCUACAAUGUCACCCCUUUUCCUGCUGGCUUUCAACUACGUGGUGACCUAAUUAAAAAGUCACCGUUUUGGAGAUCAGCUCCAACUCCCUACGUUGUACCCCAACUUUAUCAGCUUCAACUUUUCUGGGGGAAUCCCUGCACGGGAUUGAUUCCUGGUGGUGGAAAUGGCAUUCAUGCCUAUCCUCAUUCACCUGCCCAAAACAUUUUAAG